GAUACUUAAAACCAGAGUCUUUUGUUUUAAUGGUAUAGGUAAAAAUAUAACUUUCAUUAGGCGCGUACAUGAAUAUAACAAGUAAAAUCUGAUAUUUAUGACAUAAAUAAUUUUAUUGAAUCAAUUUAAAAAGGACAAAAUAUAUUUUAUGAAGAAAAAAAUCCUAUAGAAACACAAUAAUACAAAAAAUAAUAUUAUACGAUAUUCUAAGUAUAAUUAUAAGAAGGAUCAUGUUUUGGUAAGAUAGAUGUUAAAACAUCAAUAAGAAAACUCACGAACCUUAGGCUUUGGCAUAUUAUCUGAAACACAAAAAGCAGUAUUUUAAAAUCCGACUCAAACACCAAACUGGACAACCUCCCGGAUUACUGGGUCACAAUAUUAACAGCGGAUGAAUCGCAUGCUAAUAAAUUAAUUAAUGUUAUUAUGUAAUAAUAUAUUAUAUAAACUAAAGUUAAGUAUUUCUUAAAUGCUGUUUAAAACAUGAAAUAAUAGUUUGGUUAUGCUUUAG
rnacentral:lncRNA from 1 species